CUUGAGACUGAAUCACACUUUGGUAUCCUCUGUGCCUCGAUGUGCUAGAGUCCUUGAAAAGUACUGCUGACCUUAUUCACUGGCUGUGGCCCUUAUGGCCUACUCAGUCACCAGGUUAGUGAAAUGU